AUGGAUAGAGAUGAUAGCGGCAGGCUUGGAGAACGGCGUCCUUUGUUAAUGCGUUAUGAAAAAGAGAAAGCACACACAAGAGAAGGGCUAUCCUUCCAUGAGUGGGACUCUGAAGACGACGAUGAUGAUGAUGAGGAGGAGGAGGAAGAGGAGGAGAGGGAUAGAGUGAGGGAACGGGUGGAGGGCAGGGGAAGGAGGGCAGGUAGGGGGGCCGUCUCUGAGUCAGAGAGGGACAGGGCCAGGGCAGAGGACAGUUACUCAGAUGAGGGCUCGUCGGGGGAGUUUGGCCGUUUUGAAAGAUACUGGGAGGGAGGUUCAGGGGGAAGUGGCACUGGGAUAGGGGGCAUAGGAGGAGGAGGCUGGUUCUUUGGUACCUACCCCUCCAGAGAGAAAGGGGGCAGUGUCAACAGUCGAGAUGAUUCAUUACUAGGAACUAGAGCAGAAGGCUGGAUUGGAGCUGAUUUCUGGGGAUCGGGACCAGGUGUUGGUUGGGGUUCUGGGGGAGGGAGCGGGGGUUUGGGUUCGCAGUGGCCACCACCUCCAGCAGCCUUCCCUCCACCUCGACGAUACUGGUCUAUGGACAAAAUUCCUGUGAAGGGUGAGAAAAAGUGGAAGAGUGGAGGAGGGAAGAACAAGGGACGAUCUAGGGAAAGGGGGGAAGAAGCGCCACGGGCGACCAUGUGUUCCUGUAGCCUUUACCCCCAACCCCAUCCUUAUCCACAUCCCCACAGUCGCUCACACACCUCCCAUUCCAAGAGAGGAUCCACAGCACUUUCCCAUAGCCAGGAAGAGCUUCUCCCCCACUGCCACAGCUUCAGCGGUGUCUCUCGUCCUAAGCCGCUGCCCCCCAAACCCGAUUCCAGCCAGGCCAAAUCAGGCAGCCAAUCUAACCUCAGCCUCAGCACACAGCCCACAGACCAUCCGCCUCAGCCCUCACCGUCACCACCACAGCAGCCGUCCAUGUCUCCCACGUCCCUCCCGAUGCCCAUCCCACCUCCACCCUCCUCAUCCUCUGUCUCGCCACCAGCAGGGGUAGGGAUGGAAGGCCAGGCCCAGGCUCCGGCUUCAGCCAGUGCCAAACUCCAAUAUCAGAGACUGCGCUCUGUGCCACAGCCACGGAGGUUCUACUCUCCCCACCUGCCACUCAAAGCCAAGAGCCUGUGCUCACGUCGAGGGUCGGCCCACUUCUCUAGCCUGGAGAGCGAGGUAUGA
rnacentral:lncRNA from 1 species